rnacentral:rRNA from 1 species
CCGGAGAACUGAAACAUCUUAGUACCCGGAGGAAGAGAAAGAAAAAUCGAUUCCCUGAGUAGCGGCGAGCGAAACGGGAAGAGCCCAAACCAACAAGCUUGCUUGUUGGGGUUGUAGGACACUCUAUACGGAGUUACAAAAGAACAUGUUAGACGAAUCAUCUGGAAAGAUGAAUCAAAGAAGGUAAUAAUCCUGUAGUCGAAAACAUAUUCUCUCUUGAGUGGAUCCUGAGUACGACGGAGCACGUGAAAUUCCGUCGGAAUCUGGGAGGACCAUCUCCUAAGGCUAAAUACUCUCUAGUGACCGAUAGUGAACCAGUACCGUGAGGGAAAGGUGAAAAGUACCCCGGAAGGGGAGUGAAAGAGAACUUGAAACCGUGUGCUUACAAGUAGUCAGAGCCCGUUAAUGGGUGAUGGCGUGCCUUUUGUAGAAUGAACCGGCGAGUUACGAUCUGAUGCAAGGUUAAGCAGCAAAUGUGGAGCCGCAGCGAAAGCGAGUCUGAAUAGGGCGUUGAGUAUUUGGUCGUAGACCCGAAACCAGGUGAUCUACCCUUGGUCAGGUUGAAGUUCAGGUAACACUGAAUGGAGGACCGAACCGACUUACGUUGAAAAGUGAGCGGAUGAACUGAGGGUAGCGGAGAAAUUCCAAUCGAACUUGGAGAUAGCUGGUUCUCUCCGAAAUAGCUUUAGGGCUAGCCUCAAGUGAUGAUUAUUGGAGGUAGAGCACUGUUUGGACGAGGGGCCCCUCUCGGGUUACCGAAUUCAGACAAACUCCGAAUGCCAAUUAAUUUAACUUGGGAGUCAGAACAUGGGUGAUAAGGUCCGUGUUCGAAAGGGAAACAGCCCAGACCACCAGCUAAGGUCCCAAAAUAUAUGUUAAGUGGAAAAGGAUGUGGCGUUGCCCAGACAACUAGGAUGUUGGCUUAGAAGCAGCCAUCAUUUAAAGAGUGCGUAAUAGCUCACUAGUCGAGUGACACUGCGCCGAAAAUGUACCGGGGCUAAACAUAUUACCGAAGCUGUGGAUUGUCCUUUGGACAAUGGUAGGAGAGCGUUCUAAGGGCGUCGAAGCAUGAUCGCAAGGACAUGUGGAGCGCUUAGAAGUGAGAAUGCCGGUGUGAGUAGCGAAAGACGGGUGAGAAUCCCGUCCACCGAUUGACUAAGGUUUCCAGAGGAAGGCUCGUCCGCUCUGGGUUAGUCGGGUCCUAAGCUGAGGCCGACAGGCGUAGGCGAUGGAUAACAGGUUGAUAUUCCUGUACCACCUAGUAUCGUUUUAAUCGAUGGGGGGACGCAGUAGGAUAGGCGAAGCGUGCUGUUGGAGUGCACGUCCAAGCAGUAAGGCUGAGUGUUAGGCAAAUCCGGCACUCAUAAGGCUGAGCUGUGAUGGGGA